rnacentral:lncRNA from 1 species
UUAAAGAUGAAGCUGACAGUUACAAAUAUUUACUAGCAAAAAAAGCCAUGGAAUAAUGCAAAUCCAUCAGUUAAUUUAAUUAGCUCUUUCUAAUUCAUUAAGCAAACUUAAUUUGUUUAAUAUAGUAACCACAUGGAACAAGUCCCCAGUCGCGAAAAAAGAAAAGAAAAAAGAGGGCAUAGUUUCCUAAUUAAACUAUUUUCCUAUUUGCCUGCAGUAUUUUCCUUAUCAAACAUUUUAUUUUU